CGCCAUUUUCUGGAAGAGACAAGAAGAACACUUCAUCCACUCCGUCGGAAAUCAUGGCUGUCCAACCUUGUCAACAGUUUUCUCUAGAUGGAGCGGCAGAACAAGGCUUCCUUGCAUUUUAUCGAUCAUUACCUGAGAAACCAGAGACAACCUUCCGCGUUUUUGAUCGCUCGGUGAGUAAUGACGGUACCUGGUUCUAUGCAGCUAUCCGCGAGAUUGUAGAAUACCGGGUCACUCAUUUACAUAUCUCAAUUUGAAUGUUUCCUUUUGUUUCUAUAUGUUUCGUUCUGAGAAGCGUUGAGGGAUAUGUUAAUAAGUGGCCCGGCAUUGUAAAAUCGCUCCAAACCUGCUGAGAUCUAGAUCGAAUUAGUCAAAAGAGCAAACAACGCUGAACCCCCAGGAGUUACCGCAAAUCCUCGAAUUAGCACCCGGGGCGCUUAUUUCAAAUUUAGGAGAGGACACGGGGCGCUUGUUCGAGGGGGGUGAUUAAUCGAGGUUGGGGGGGAGGGACACUUAUUUAAUUUUUCCCAAAUCGUGCCCUGACAUGAUAAGUUUUUUUAAUACAUCUUGUGGACGCAAACAACAUAAAACGCUGAUC